rnacentral:rRNA from 1 species
AAAAGCUCGUAGUUGGAUCUCAGCUAGAGACGGUCGGUCCGCCUACCGGUGGUUACUGCCCGUGCUCAGCAUUCCGCCGGUUUCCUUUGAUGAUCUUCACCGGUUGUCUCGGGUGACCGGCAAGUUUACUUUGAAAAAAUUAGAGUGCUCAAAGCAGGCGUGACGCCUGAAUAUUUGUGCAUGGAAUAAUGGAAUAGGACCUCGGUUCUAUUUUGUUGGUUUUCGGAACACGAGGUAAUGAUUAAGAGGGACAGACGGGGGCAUUCGUAUUGCGACGCUAGAGGUGAAAUUCUUGGACCGUCGCAAGACGAACUACUGCGAAAGCAUUUGCCAAGAAUGUUUCCAUUAAUCAAGAACGAAAGUUAGAGGUUCGAAGGCGAUCAGAUACCGCCCUAGUUCUAACCAUAAACGAUGCCAGCCAGCGAUCCGGCUGUGUUCCUCAAAUGACACGCCGGGCAGCUUCCGGGAAACCAAAGCUUUUGGGUUCCGGGGGAAGUAUGGUUGCAAAGCUGAAACUUAAAGGAAUUGACGGAAGGGCACCAUCAGAAGUGGAGCCUGCGGCUUAAUUUGACUCAACACGGGAAAUCUCACCCGGCCCGGACACAGGAAGGAUUGACAGAUUAAGAGCUCUUUCUUGAUUCUGUGGGUGGUGGUGCAUGGCCGUUCUUAGUUGGUGGGGCGACUUGUCUGGUUUAUUCCGUUAACGAACGAGACUCUAGCCUACUAAAUAGACGUUCCGAUCCUCUAUGUCGGACGUUCUUCUUAGAGGGACAAGCGGCGUUUAGCCGCACGAGACAGAGCAAUAACAGGUCUGGGAUGCCCUUAGAUGUCCGGGGCCGCACGCGCGCUACAUUGAAGGAAUCAGCGUGUGCUCUCCCUUUCCGACAGGAAUGGGUAACCCGUUGAAACUCCUUCGUGCUGGGGAUAGGCGACUGCAAUUGACGCCUUGAACGAGGAACUCCCAGUAAGCACGAGUCAUCAGCUCGUGUUGACUACGUCCCUGCCCUUUGUGCACACCGCCCGUCGCUACUACCGAUUGAAUGAUUUAGUGAGGUCUUCGGACUGGCCCUCGGGUUGAUCUUCGUGGUCGAGACGAGGUGCAGGAAAGAUGACCAAACUUGAUCAUUUAGAGGAAGUAAAAGUCGUAACAAGGUUUC